rnacentral:lncRNA from 1 species
AUGGAAAGUGGUCAGAGGUCAACUUUUGAGCUCUUAUCGACGGUUAUCAGUCAAUUGCUUUGGAAUUGUCAAACUAAAGCUCCACUCUCCCACAGAUGCUGGUGUAGGAUGUCUGCUAUGCAUUGGGAAGCCCGGCGCCGGCAGACCAUGGUGGACCGCAGGAUGUCCAGGGCCAAGCAGCAGAUGACAAAGGACUCUUCAGAGCCAAGCUCAAAGCCACUGGCAGAGUCUAACGCACCAGCUCAGCAACCAGCCGUGAAUGAAUGUUCACACUGCAAAAACAAGCUCCAGUACAGUGCUAAGAUUGACAACAGAUACUCGUCCAUACAGUACUCCCAGCAGUGGUGA